rnacentral:snRNA from 1 species
GCAUUUUAAAUACAUAUAGUAAUAUUGGAACGAUAUAGAGAAGAUUAGCAUGGCCCCCGCAUAAAGA